GGGGCUUCCUGGCAAGACAGGACCAAAGGGAGAAAAGGGGGAGCUUGGCCGACCAGGAAGGAAGGUAUGGUCUGCGCUGUUCUGAGCAGGAGCCUGCUACUGCCAGCAUUCAGACUUCUUCCAGGGCCUGCCAAGCCUGGCCAAAUUCCACCCCUCUCACUUCCCGCCCCAACCCCAGACCAUCUCACUCUGCUACCCAUCAGAGAAACCCUUCAUAGCUCCAACCAGUGACACAGAAUGACUGUCACUGUCUGUUUGAUUAAAUUUGAAUAAAGUACCAGA
rnacentral:sRNA from 1 species